GUGCGUCAAAUACAUGGUAUGUAGUGUGUGUAAUGUUUUCUUUAUUGAUUUAAUGUAUCUUUUAUACAUUAUUUUAAAAAAAUAUUAGCAUUGUGCACUUCUUCUCUAUAUUCUCUAUAAGUGUGGAAAAUUUCAUACUCCUCCGUCCGCGCAAUUUUCGUAAAAAGGGAUUCAAAUUUUUGCUUCACGUAUUAAUAUUAUACAGAUAAUUCUGCUGACGCCUUGCAUGUGACUGAGAAAUUGCGGCUCCAAUCCGAUCGUUUGUAUUAAACUUAGCUAUUAAUAUUAUCUAAAGGACUAAAAUGAACACGCUUCGGGAAUGUUUCAGGUUGACAGAACAACUAAAAAUGGAAAGAAUACUUUGGAGUUGUACUAUAUUAUAGACUAGCGACCCGCCCUCGCUUCGCUUCGGAAACAUUAAAACACACAUGAAACCAAAAAUAUAAAAAAAAAAAAAAUUAAAAAAAGUAGCCUAUCUUCAUCAGGGACAAUGUCGGCUUCUAAUGGAAAAAGAAUUUUUCAAAUCGGUCCAGUAGUUUCGGAGCCUAUUCGAAACAAACAAACAAACAAAUCUUUCCUCUUUAUAAUAUUAGUAUAGAUAUUUAUUAUGCACAUAAUAUCCAUCAAUUAAAGCUAAGUGGUGAUA